rnacentral:piRNA from 1 species
UAACCACUCACAGGGUGACCUUGGAGGU